UACAGAGGUCUCAAGCGUUGUUCGGAUUCAUUGGGCGUAAAGGGUGCGUAGGUGGCGCCGGAAGGCGGGUGUGAAAUUUCGGAGCUUAACUCCGAAACUGCAUUCGAUACUGCGGUGCUUGAGGACUGGAGAGGAGACUGGAAUUCAUGGUGUAGCAGUGAAAUGCGUAGAGAUCAUGAGGAAGACCAGUGGCGAAGGCGGGUCUCUGGACAGUUCCUGACACUGAGGCACGAAGGCCAGGGGAGCAAACGGG
rnacentral:rRNA from 1 species